rnacentral:rRNA from 1 species
AGCGAACGCUGGCGGCAGGCUUAACACAUGCAAGUCAAACGCAUCCUUCGGGGUGAGUGGCAGACGGGUGAGUAACACGUGGGAACGUACCCUUCGAUCUGGGAUAACUUCGGGAAACUGGAGCUAAUACCGGAUACGCCCUUUUGGGGAAAGGUUUACUGUCGAAGGAUCGGCCCGCGUCUGAUUAGCUAGUUGGUGGGGUAACGGCCUACCAAGGCGACGAUCAGUAGCUGGUCUGAGAGGAUGAUCAGCCACACUGGGACUGAGACACGGCCCAGACUCCUACGGGAGGCAGCAGUGGGGAAUAUUGGACAAUGGGCGCAAGCCUGAUCCAGCCAUGCCGCGUGAGUGAUGAAGGCCUUAGGGUUGUAAAGCUCUUUUGUCCGGGACGAUAAUGACGGUACCGGAAGAAUAAGCCCCGGCUAACUUCGUG